CGGGGUGGUUGAGGUUGGGAAAAGGGUGGUUGAGGUUGAGGUUGGGAACGGGGUGGUUGAGGUUGGGAACGGGAUGGUUGAGGUUGGGAACGGGGUGGUUGAGGUUGGGAGGAACGGGGUGGUUGAGGUUGGGAGGAACGGGGUGGUUGGGGUUGGGAACGGGGUGGUUGAGGGAGGGAACGGGGUGGUUGAGGGAGGGAACGGGGUGGUUGAGGUUGGGAACGGGAUGGUUGAGGUUUGGAACGGGGUGGUUGAGGUUGGGAUCUGGGUGGUUGAGGUUGGGAACAGUGUGGUUGAGGUUGGGAACAGGGUGGUUGAGGUUGGGAACGGGAUGGUUGAGGUUGGGAGGGAACGGGGUGGUUGAGGUUGGGAACGGGGUGGUUGAGGUUGGGAACGGGAUGGUUGAGGUUGGGAACGGGAUGGUUGAGGUUGGGAACGGGGUGGUUGAGGUUGGGA
ensembl:lncRNA